AUUGAACGCUGGCGGCAGGCCUAACACAUGCAAGUCGAACGGUAGCAUAGAGAGCUUGCUCUCGGGUGACGAGUGGCGGACGGGUGAGUAACGUCUGGGAAACUGCCCGAUGGAGGGGGAUAACUACUGGAAACGGUAGCUAAUACCGCAUAACGUCGCAAGACCAAAGUGGGGGACCUUCGGGCCUCACACCAUCGGAUGUGCCCAGAUGGGAUUAGUUAGUAGGUGGGGUAAUGGCUCACCUAGGCGACGAUCCCUAGCUGGUCUGAGAGGAUGACCAGCCACACUGGAACUGAGACACGGUCGAGACUCCUACGGGAGGCAGUAGUGGGGAAUAUUGCACAAUGGGCGCAAGCCUGAUUCAGCCAUGCCGCGUGUAUGAAGAAGGCCUUCGGGUUGUAAAGUACUUUCAGCGGGGAGGAAGGCGGUGAAGUUAAUAGCUUCACCGAUUGACGUUACCCGCAGAAGAAGCACCGGCUAACUCCGUGCCAGCCGCCGCAGUAA
rnacentral:rRNA from 1 species